AACAGGAUUAGAUACCCUGGUAGUCCACGCUGUAAACGAUGUCGACUUGGAGGUUGUUCCCUUGAGGAGUGGCUUCCGGAGCUAACGCGUUAAGUCGACCGCCUGGGGAGUACGGCCGCAAGGUUAAAACUCAAAUGAAUUGACGGGGGCCCGCACAAGCGGUGGAGCAUGUGGUUUAAUUCGAUGCAACGCGAAGAGCCUUACCUACUCUUGACAUCCAGAGAACUUAGCAGAGAUGCUUUGGCGCCUUCGGGAACUCUGAGACAGGUGCUGCAUGGCUGUCGUCAGCUCGUGUUGUGAAAUGUUGGGUUAAGUCCCGCAACGAGCGCAACCCUUAUCCUUUGUUGCCAGCGGUCCGGCCGGGAACUCAAAGGAGACUGCCAGUGAUAAACUGGAGGAAGGUGGGGAUGACGUCAAGUCAUCAUGGCCCUUACGAGUAGGGCUACACACGUGCUACAAUGGCAUAUACAAAGAGAAGCGACCUCGCGAGAGCAAGCGGACCUCAUAAAGUAUGUCGUAGUCCGGAUUGGAGUCUGCAACUCGACUCCAUGAAGUCGGAAUCGCUAGUAAUCGUGGAUCAGAAUGCCACGGUGAAUACGCUCCCGGGCCUUGUACACACCGCCCGUCACACCAUGGGAGUGGGUUGCAAAAGAAGUAGGUAGCUUAACCUUCGGGAGGGCGCUUACCACUUUGUGAUUCAUGACUGGGGUGAAGUCGUAACAAGGUAACC
rnacentral:rRNA from 1 species